CAUCAAUGUGUGGAUCUGAGUUUGCCGUAAAGUUUGGGCUGUUGCGUCAACACAGGCCAGUAAGUUGUUCUCUAGCGUGCAAUACAGCUUCGCUCCAUAUUUAGCAGCUACUUUUUGAUUCGCCGGCAGCGGAUCAAGGAAACCAGUGAUUUCAUGCUCUCCCCAUCAUGGAUCCGCUUUUCUGUGCUCCUAUUGUACCCAGCAAUGGCCGAAAUGGCGUAAGCGUGUUGUCAGUUUGGUACGGUCAACGAAGGAUCGUCGUUACAUCCGAUUGCUUGAAGAAACGUCAGAUGACGCAGGUCGACUGUUUGCAACAGUGCUUGAGGGCACAUUUGUUCCUCGUCGAUCCUAAUGCAACACCACUGCGUUUCUAUGUGUAUGUGAAUCGUUACUCAGAGUAAGUCCUAGUCUAAGAGUCUGCACGCCACGAGCAAAAAUGCAGAUGCUGUUGAGACGCGCUCGAUAUCGCCUGGAACCGUGCACCACUGAGUCAGGGAAGUCGUAGAGACAAAAAUCUGAGUGUUAAGGCUCUUUCUGCCAGAGACUACAUUCGUCAUCAGCUUUUCUUCUUCUGUAUGGUGGGAUUGUCGUCACAAAGGAAAACCUUCGGACAGUGAGUUCGCCGAAACACCAAGUGUCUCCAAGAUAACAGUGGCAAGGUUGUUCAGAGAUUCGAUCCAUUGCCCCAGGUGUCAUAAGGGCAACGCUGUGACUGUUCCAAGCAUCAUUCUGCAGUCAGGCACAAAAAGCUUGGGAUUCCGCUUGGCCGCAAACGCCACAGCUGUGUGUGCUGGGACAAUUGUUUGGCAUCUGUACAUGGCAUCUUCACUGCCACGGAAUGUUCGAGAAAGAUUUUUCUCGUCAAGAUAUUAUUCAGCGGAAGGUGAAUUUUCUGCGGUUGUAUGGAAGCACCGAGCCCCUUGCUGCAAUUCAGUUUCGCCAGCCCGUCUUGCAGGGGCGUCAUCUUUUGCUGUCUAUUCCUACAGACACGAGUGAGUCCCAAAUGUAGUGGCAUCUGGAUAUACUGGUUGAUGUAGCCGCCUCUCUCCAACCCCCCUGGUUCAACACCUGCCAUCGCUCUCCUGGUGUAGCUUGUUUGAGGCGAACAAGUUCUCAUCCAGAAGGACAGGACAGCUGGUGCGACUAUAGGGGAUGAAAGCUCAGGUGCUUCUGACCACUCCAGGAGUUGUUGACUGAUAAGAGGCCACGAAAGUACUCGUCUAAGUUCCUUGAAAUGUACUGGUGGCCACAAAUGUACACUUUUUCCGGCUCUUCUUGGUUGUUUGAGUGGCACUGUCCUUCUUUCACUUUCUCUACUUUUAUCAAAGAGUAAGUAUCCUGGGCGUGCAGCUACUUCAGGACUACCAGGGGGCAGUGACUUUGACGUUCUCCCUUCGCUGGGUGGGAGACAGAUGCAAUUAAGUUCGCGUAUCGUCAUAGCAUUCGCAGCGUGAUUUGCGCUGUCGUUGGAAAAGACACUUAUUCCUUUGUUGUGAGGUUAUCUUCCGGCACAGCAUCAAGUGAGUCUUGAGUAUCAGAUUAUUGGAUGGGUGGUUUGCCGUGCCAAGGGGAGGGCGACCGCAGCAGCUGUUGGAGACGCUCUUCCCUGAAAAAUUUUCAGUUCCUCCUUUCUUUCUGUUUUGAACAAAGAGUAAGUCAUCUUAUGUGCAGCCUCACAUCCUUUCAAAGUGCAACACCGUUGUGGUUCAGCGGUUUAGAUCCGAGCCGAUAGCUGGAAGCUCAUAAAACGCUUUUGGCCACUACAAGGAUUUGACUGGGUGUUUAUCAGGGUAACAGAUGCAUCAACACAUGUCUAGAGUCCUCGUGAAGUCUCGUUUUUCCCCUCUCUGGUGCUGCACUAACUACGUUACUUGUAAGAAUAACAAAAGACCGGCUUCACUGUUUUGCCGUACGGUAUUUCCUACAGAAUCCAGUAGAAAAUUCUCUGUAGAUCACUUCUAGAGGACGUCAGUAGGUUGCGUAACCAUAACGGGAUGUAUUUUUGCAGUCGCCAUCCACAAUGAAUACAGUAGGGCACAACCUCUGCUGAGGUCCGUGCGCCAGUCGUGUACCCCGGUACUAUCACCCUUCCCCAAAUUUACAAAGAAUGCAUGGAUUUGCUUCUUUGUGUAUCUUCUCCUCAAAGGGUAAGUCCUUUUAGCUCGUUUCUGUCGAAGCAAAGAGGAAAGAACUGCGAUACGUCAGCGGUGCUGCAGCAGUCAGACACGUGUAUAUUCCGCUUGGAGCUAAGGAGGAGCCAGAAGUAUAGCCGUCAAGACAAUAGCUAGGGGUUUUGAUACUCUGCCACAGUUUCAAGCGGAGAGAAACUUGAGAAUAUCGAUUCUCCGCACCCCUGCCGGAUGUGUAUGAGUUUGUGGAGAGGUACUGAGUAUCACUGAUGGUCACAUUUUCUCUUCUUCUUAGACUGCCGCAAGUGAAUGAAAUCUCGUCCAGAAACGCUGUACAGCGAGUGAAAGGUGAUCGGGCUGGUAACCGACGCAUCAACGCAUGCCUCCAGUCUUGGCGAAGGCUCCCUGUUUCUUUCUCUUUCGCCCUCUCUUUGCAUUUUCGCCUUCCGCCCCCCACCACUCAAUACUCGUUUCGUUGUUUAUAAUGUUUGUGAACUUCGUGGUCGAACACUCUGUUUUCUUGAAUUUUUACAGAAAUAUGCGAAGGAGGUAAGGGUUACCGUUUUUGGUUGUCCAGGGACACGGGGUUCGUUACAUUGUCUCUUCCACUUCAAGCAAUCUAAGAACGUCUUCAUUCUCUCUGACAAACGCUUUUGUGCGGCAAAAGGUUUGUUUCUGACGCCAGAUUCUAACGUCAUCGCUUUCUGAAGGACCGCUUGUCGCCGACCGAGUGCAAUCUUUUUCAAUCGGGUCAUUUUUUUAUAGCAUGGGUAACUUCACCCGCAUAAUCGAAACAAAACCAUCACACUGCAGUCGCCUUACCUGUUUCGGUUCAGCUUAGUAAGUUUGAUUAUUGCUACCUUCAAGCAUACGAACCCCGGUUCGAAUGCUUGACCUCUCCUUGGAAUCUCCAUGGAGCCAGUUCUGGAAAUACAUAUCCGAUUUUAAGCUGCCAUCCCGCCGAGCCAAUUGAUAGUAUGCCGUAUUACUUCGGAACCCCAACAGCUGGCUGGUUCUAAUCGUGCGGUUUUGUCCAUGUUCACUUCUUCACGCAUUCAGUGCCCAAGAUAGUAGGUGCUCUCGCCGUCAUAGGCCUGAUAAGAGAGUGGAUGUCGUGGGAGUCGGUGAUCGGCAAACAGCGUCGUUUAGGAUUGACUCGUUCCAUCCUGAUCGGCCACGCAAGACACUGAGCCAUGGGAUGAGAGACAAAGCACACGCUAAGCCUGAGCCCUUCUCCACACCUUUUCAAUAAAAUUAACCAAUAAUCUGCCAUUCGGUUGGUUUGUCCUGACAGCAACGUAGUUUGGACUUGGAGGAAGAACUCGAGAGUUUGCAAGUACGUUUGACACAUAUUAGCGUGGUAAAGUCACCACUGCAAUACCUAACAAAGGAACGAGGCGGAUAAGGGUUCUAGUCAGUUGCAGCCACCUGGCUCAUACUCGCACCCUGCUGUACUUGAAACCUAUUUCCUCCUCGAGGGAAAAGUGUGGCCCGAAGCGUGUGCGCUUCGUUUUUCUCCAGAGCAAACGGUUGAGACUCGCUGUAAGUUGCACCGUGGGUCUCCUGACGUCACCGAAAUGUCCAAGCCUUCAACCCGUAGAACGUGUUCUGGGGUCAACAGGCACUCUGGCACUGUGCCUGCGAAUGUUUCUGCCUGCACAUCUUACAUAUUUCCUUCAGAGGUGGUAAUUCGGCAUCCAAUGGGAUUUAACGGGAAGCUGGGCCACUGCAGGGGUUAUUCAGAAAACUUAUUGUGUUGCUGUUUGUAUAAUCCAGAGUAAAGAAGAGUUUCAACAAAGAAUUCGACGUGCUAUCAGGGACGUAGCCGACGAUUUUAGCUACCCGAUUAACUCGGACAGCGACGAGGGCUGAAGCGGUCCGACGAUAACCGCAGUCGUUUGGUAGUGCGUCGACUCGUUCGGUGUUGUACAGCGAUUUCAGCUCCGGUGUCUUUCCUGAAAGUUUCCGUUUCUCUAUGGUGUUGGACACACACCAUAUGCUUUCUCGUACGCCACCGCCCUUGUGGGCUGUUCACUCAGUUUGCACAGAUUGCGAGGGCCCCGAUGUUGGUGUUUCGAAACAUGUGUGGGAGCCGUGAAAGCAAUUACUUCGAUUCUUGUGUGAGAGUUGUUUGCAGUGUUCCACGUUCCCUGCUUCCCGGGUUAGCUUAGCCUUGGCUAGUUGCCAACACACUGAGCAAUGUUCCAAAAAGUACGUCUUUUCAAGUACACCCUGGUUCGACAGUUUCAAAUGCGGCGAGACACAUUGAGUUUGAUGGGUCUUUGAGACUGAAUGGAUCUUUGAGUGGGUUGCUUAGUUUAGAGUAUGAAACCAAGUUCGGACGUGCCUUGCUGUUGCCGCUAUGCAAAUAACUUUUCCUCGAAGUCUGAAUAACCUCAGCUCCGCCGUUACUAUUGGAUCACUGUAGAACGAUCACGUUUGUACCUUCCGGAAAUGAUAAGCAGGUAUACGCCUGGUCUUCAAAGAGGUUCAAUUCCGUAAGGACCCGUUAUACUAAGUCCAUAGCAGCGAGUGUAUUUUCAUUCCAUAUAGUUUGAUUCUUGCUCCUCCGACUCAUAGCCAACCUGAGGCGCCAUACAGCGCCUGCUGGAUCGUCGCGAG
rnacentral:lncRNA from 1 species